UCGGCUCGGCUUGGUUCAGUUCGGCUCAGCUUGGUUCAACUCGGUGAGUCGACUCAACUUCAGGACAGAAAACUUCCGGCGGCAAGUGUGGGCGCGUCCGGUCUCGGAUCGGGAUGAGUUUUGCGGCGUCACGUUCCUCUCGUCGAGAUCUUCGAUUUGAUAUGCUAUAUGACCAUAUAUAGCAUCAAGUACUAGCUCUGAUACCACUUUGUUGGAGAAUUAAUAAAUAAAACACACAAAAAACACACUAUUUUAUUUCUUCAACAACACUCCUCACCAAUUACAACUCUUAUUUUUCACUCUCUACACCUUAGAGAUUUU
rnacentral:lncRNA from 1 species